CCACUCUGAAAAGCAGGAGGCGCGAGGCGGUCGACAGACCCCUCGCCGGUCCUCGCCCACGGUGAAAACCGGCCACGGCCGGUGAAGCUCUCAGGCCCAUGACAGAGGGGGA
rnacentral:ncRNA from 2 species